rfam:Triticum aestivum genome assembly, contig: Triticum_aestivum_CS42_TGACv1_scaffold_162136_2DL
AAAGUACUCCCUCCGUCCCAAAAUUCUUGUCUUAGAUUUGUCUAGAUACGGAUGUAUCAAGUCACAUUUUAGUAUUAGAUACAUCCGUAUCUAGACAAAUCUAAGAAAGAAAUUUGGGAUAGAGGGAGUAGUUG